UUCCCAUCAUUCAAAAGAAUUGAGAUAAGAUCUUCUAUUGGCUCACCCCGUUCUUCAGUCAGGUCAUCGCGGGUGUCCAAUCCAUCAACCGGACAGGGGUCAGGCUGACCAUUUCUUUGUAGGGCUAUGUUAUAGCAAUAUCUUGCCAGAGCUUGAUCUCCUCUAACCUCUCCGACCCUCUGGCUAGUAAAAAAUUUCAAUUUCAAAUGGUAGGUCGAUACUACAGCUCGGAGGGUAUUGAGGCUAGGUCGGUCGAGUAUUGUGUUUAGGCAGACGGCGCCCUUACUACC
rnacentral:lncRNA from 1 species